rnacentral:lncRNA from 1 species
AAGAUCUGCAGCAUGGAAAUAAAUUUACUCCCAAACAACUGCAUAGUCUUUGAAGUUAGUUUGGCUACUUUUACAUGCUUUUGAACUUCCCCCUGUAAACCUGUGUAUCCAGAUACGCUUGCAACCUAAUCUAAGGGGCUUGCUGUCUCAAUUGAAAUGCCUAAACAUGGGCAUCUAAUGACACAUCAGAAGCUUCCUGUCCACUUGCUGCACCACCCAUGGUCAUGGACCUCUGCACUUCUCUGAGACUUCUGGAAUAACUAAGGAUGACUUGCAUGAGUAAGAGCUCUAAGUAGCAAGAAAAAGGCACAAAGAACUGCUUACAAGAAACCUCAUUUGAAAGCAGGUGCUGUUGUAGUUUUCCAGCAGAAGACUCAGUUCACAAGUCGUCUGUAGACUACAGAAGAAAGAAGGUUUAAUACAAAAAGGAUUGUCUCAUUGACCCAACUUGAUAUGUGUUUCAAAGGCAAAGCUGGAAAUGUACUACAAUGAGCUUCACAUAUUGAUCCGUACAAAGAAAGAAUGACACAGCUCAG